rnacentral:tRNA from 1 species
GGAGAGAUGGCAGAGCGGUCGAUUGCGGCGGUCUUGAAAACCGUUGAACCGCAAGGUUCCGGGGGUUCGAAUCCCUCUCUCUCCGCCA